CUCGCCUGUGUUGCCGCCGUGGCCUUCGCCGCCCCCCAGUACAGCUCCAGCGAGGAGGCUGAGUUUAUCCCAAUCCUCAAGGACGACCGCGUCCACGAGGAAGACGGAACUUACAGCUUCGACUUCGAAACUGCCAACGGCAUCAGCUUCUCCCAGGCUGGAUCCCCCGACGGCGAUGAGGACGCUGUGAUCAAGGCCGGAGAAUACUCCUACACCGCUCCUGACGGCACUGAAAUCCAUCUCCGCUUCGUGGCUGACGACAACGGCUUCCAGCCCGAGGGCGACCACCUGCCCGUGGCUCCCGAGUUCCCCCACCCGAUCCCUCAGUUCGUCCUCGACCAGAUCGCUAAAGCCGCCGAGGAGGACGCCGCCCGCGCCGAUUCC